UACAAACAACUGCUUUCAAGCUUCUAAAAAAACAGACACAAAAAUAAUAUUGCUUAGACAAAAUACCUUGGGAAGAAGCUCUCAAGAUUUGUUCCAGCCAAGAAAGCAGAUGUGUAUGUCUCUAUUGACCAUGUAAAGAGCAGCACUGAAGGGACAGACGUUCCUUAUGGGGCACAUUCUUAAAGCUUUACUUCUUCUUCCUAUUUUUUUCUGACAUUUGCUGUGUUUUAUAUUCUCUGGCAACCAGCAGAGCUCCACCGAUGCUGACUUGCAGAGCCCAUAGAGAUACUAAGGAAAUAUUUUUCCUAGCAACAAGCGUCACACAAAAACAUGAAGAAAUGCUUCCCCUGCUCAUAUUUCCUUUCAAUUUUUUCAGUCAUCUGGUGCUGAGAUAAGAGCUGCGUGGUGAAACCUGCUGCUAGUUUGUGUUUCAUGGGCAACCUGGAGUACCGAGGAGCACGUCAGGCCUUGACGCCCACCAUUACAGCAGCGUGGAGCCCUGUCUGACACAGCAGUGUGUGGUGUUGCCUAAGAUGGUGGCCGCCCUCGGCCUGGCAGGAGAGUGGAUAAAUGUGAUAAUGCUUUCUGAGGCCGGGGCUUGCAAGCAAGGCAUUGCAGCCCUGCUGCUCACCCUGUCUGAGGUGUCUGUUGCCACACCCUCUGGCUCAGCCAUGCUGAAACAGUGCUUACAGAUGUGA
rnacentral:lncRNA from 1 species